UAGAUACACCCUCCGUCCAAAACUACUUGUCGGAAGAAUAAUUGUAUCUAGAUGUAUUUUAGUUUUAGAUGCAUCUAUUUAUAUUUAUUUUCACGACAAGUAUUUUUGAACGGAGGGAGUAUUUU
rfam:Triticum aestivum genome assembly, contig: Triticum_aestivum_CS42_TGACv1_scaffold_178256_2DS